rnacentral:rRNA from 1 species
AUGUUGGCGGAUCCCUAUGUUUUCAAGAUGAAUGGGGUGGUUUAUCAUCAUAUUGGUCCUCUUAUUCCUUCAGGGAAUAGUGCGCCAAAGUAUGCUCAGCUUUAUAUGGUGGACUCUGCUGAUGAAGUGCAGUUGAGAAUUAGUGCCUUUGAUCGUCAAGGAGCUGAAACGCUUGAUCCUGAUCCAGGCAUUGUGGCCUCUCUUAUUGCUAUGUUAAAUAGGCAUCAUAAAUUGGUGCAUAAGUUUAGAAUGGCUAGGGCAAAUCUGUGUUCUCCUUCUGCUCCUAGGGUGGCUAUACAUUUUAUGGGUGAUGAAGGCGGUGGUCAUGGUGACCGUUUUUCUGGUCCUGCUUCAUGUGAGCAUAUCUCUUCGUUGAAUUCGAGUCUUAUGCCCCUACAGUAUCCUCUAUUAUUUCCCUUUGGUGACAAAGGAUUUCAUCUUGGUAUCAAGUAUAUUGCUACUGGUGGGCCUCAUGGAGAUGGGCAUUGUAAUAUUGGUGGGCGUUUACGUGGUCGUUCUUCAGGAGGGCAAGUAUCUAUGAUGGAAUACUAUAAUUAUUACUUCCACUAUAGACGGGGGGAGCCAAAUCCUUAUACCUGUUGUGGUCGUUUGAGCCAGCAGAUAGGUGUGAAUUCUUAUUCUUGUGUGGAAGCUAAUCGUUUGGACUUUCACUUUCAGCAACAAGAUGAUUUACGUUCUGAGACUUAUCAAGGUAUUACUGAUGUUGUCGGACAGGGUGGAUCAACUGGUGAGAAUUUGGGGAUUCAGUUUAUAUUACAUUCGAGUUUUACGGGUGGUCCUUGGUACAUGAUGCUUAAUUACCAUGAUGGUAUGGCUAUUUGUCGCGAAUAUGGUGCUCCCGAUCUUUUUGUCACUUUUACAUGCAAUCCAAAGUGGCAAGAAGUGAUGCUCUCGCAUAUGAAGGUGGUCAGACUCACGUUGAUCGUCCUGACGUUGUUACACGUGCUUUCAAUAUAA